rnacentral:ncRNA from 2 species
CAGGACUAUUUUAAAAUCACUCAUAUAAUCCCGUAAUAUGGUCGGGAGUUUCUACUGGUCACCGAUAAUGGCCUUCUAUGAGUGAAAGUUUAUGGGAU